rnacentral:rRNA from 1 species
CCUACGGGUGACAGCAGUGAGGAAUAUUGGUCAAUGGGCGCGAGCCUGAACCAGCCAAGUAGCGUGAAGGAUGACUGCCCUACGGGUUGUAAACUUCUUUUAUAAAGGAAUAAAGUGAGGCACGUGUGCCUUUUUGUAUGUACUUUAUGAAUAAGGAUCGGCUAACUCCGUGCCAGCAGCCGCGGUAAUACGGAGGAUCCGAGCGUUAUCCGGAUUUAUUGGGUUUAAAGGGAGCGUAGAUGGGUUGUUAAGUCAGUUGUGAAAGUUUGCGGCUCAACCGUAAAAUUUCAAUUGCUACUGGCAGCCUUGAGUACAGUUGAGGUAGGCGGACUUCGUGGUGUAGCGGUGAAAUGCUUUGAUAUCACGAAGAACUCCGAUUGCGAAGGCAGCUUACUAAACUGCCACUGACAUUGCUGCUCGAAAGUGUGGGUAUCAAACAGGAUUAGAUACCCGUGUAGUC